rnacentral:rRNA from 1 species
GAACGAGCGAGAGAGAGCUUGCUUUCUCGAGCGAGCGGCGAACGGGUGAGUAACGCGUGAGGAACCUGCCUCAAAGAGGGGGACAACAGUUGGAAACGACUGCUAAUACCGCAUAAGCCCACGGGUCGGCAUCGACCAGAGGGAAAAGGAGCAAUCCGCUUUGAGAUGGCCCCGCGUCCGAUUAGCUAGUUGGUGAGGUAACGGCCCACCAAGGCAACGAUCGGUAGCCGGACUGAGAGGUUGAACGGCCACAUUGGGACUGAGACACGGCCCAGACUCCUACGGGAGGCAGCAGUGGGGAGUAUUGUACAAUGGGGGAAACCCUGAUGCAGCGACGCCGCGUGGAGGAAGAAGGUCUUCGGAUUGUAAACUCCUGUUGUUGAGGAAGAUAAUGACGGUACUCAACAAGGAAGCGACGGCUAACUACGUGCCAGCAGCCGCGGUAAAACGUAGGUCACAAGCGUUGUCCGGAAUUACUGGGUGUAAAGGGAGCGCAGGCGGGAAGACAAGUUGGAAGUGAAAUCUAUGGGCUCAACCCAUAAACUGCUUUCAAAACUGUUUUUCUUGAGUAGUGCAGAGGUAGGCGGAAUUCCCGGUGUAGCGGUGGAAUGCGUAGAUAUCGGGAGGAACACCAGUGGCGAAGGCGGCCUACUGGGCACCAACUGACGCUGAGGCUCGAAAGUGUGGGUAGCAAACAGGAUUAGAUACCCUGGUAGUCCACACCGUAAACGAUGAUUACUAGGUGUUGGAGGAUUGACCCCUUCAGUGCCGCAGUUAACACAAUAAGUAAUCCACCUGGGGAGUACGACCGCAAGG